GAUGAACGCUGGCGGCGUGCCUAAUACAUGCAAGUCGAGCGAACGGACGAGAAGCUUGCUUUUCUGAUGUUAGCGGCGGACGGGUGAGUAACACGUGGAUAACCUACCUAUAAGACUGGGAUAACUUCGGGAAACCGGAGCUAAUACCGGAUAAUAUUUUGAACCGCAUGGUUCAAAAGUGAAAGACGGUCUUGCUGUCACUUAUAGAUGGAUCCGCGCUGCAUUAGCUAGUUGGUAAGGUAACGGCUUACCAAGGCAACGAUGCAUAGCCGACCUGAGAGGGUGAUCGGCCACACUGGAACUGAGACACGGUCCGGACUCCUACGGGAGGCAGCAGUAGGGAAUCUUCCGCAGUGGGCGAAAGCCUGACGGAGCAACGCCGCGUGAGUGAUGAAGGUCUUCGGAUCGUAAAACACUGUUAUUAGGGAAGAACAAAUGUGUAAGUAACUGUGCACAUCUGGACGGUACCUAAGCAGAAGGCAACGGCUAACUACGU
rnacentral:rRNA from 1 species